rnacentral:lncRNA from 1 species
UCAAAGUUUAAAAUUUUAAAUCUCUAAACUCUAUAAAAUUAAUUAAUUAAUUAAAUUUAUUAAUAAUUAGUUAUAUAUUAUAUAAUUAAUUAAUUUAUUAAUAAUACAUAUAGUAAAUCGCGCUUCAAUCUUCAAAUUUUUUUUAUUCCUCUCUACUUAUAUUUUAUUUUUAACUUUUAAAUUUUAAUGUUAUUUUGAAAUAUAUAUUUCAAUUUUAAGUUUCAAAGUUUAAAAUUUUAAAUCUCUAAACUCUAUAAAAUUAAUUAAUUAAUUAAAUUUAUUAAUAAUUAGUUAUAUAUCGUUGGAAAUAAUAUGGCAGCGGAAACUUACAAACCGGAUAGCCAACGUAUCCGGGAACCCGAAUCGGAUCGGAUUGCCUGUUUUACAAGCCUUUUUGGAUCGUCCUUGUCUCGAUACUUCUGGAUCUCCCACGCAUAUGCCUUACGCCACAGAUCGGAUGCAGAUCUGAUGUGACGGAUGUCAAUCGAAGAGGGCUAUCAGAGUCCACACUCCAAAACCCCGGGAACAUAGGUGGAAAUCCUAGAGAGGAAGAAGAAAGAGAAUAAGGGAGAUAUUUUGUAGGUUCUUACGAAUUUGAUCGUAUUCGAUCAUCUCUUGACGGGAGAAAAAUGGGCCUUAUUUAUAGAAUAACGGAACCCCUAAAUAUCCUAAAUCUCAUACAUAUUAGGAUAAGGAUCGGGAUAUCUAUUAACAUAUAAUAGAUAUUCACUAGCAGAUACGUUUCUUAACUGAUAAGAAACAUAUAAUUAUAUUCUUAUCCUAAACUUGUUAGGAUAAAUCUCAAUCCACAACUUAAGUGGAUUGGGUUCAAUUAAGACCCACCAAUGUGGACACACCACAUGGUUACAAUCUCCCACUUGGCCUCAUUGGCCAAUUCUCUCUCAUUCAUUCAUCUCUUCAUACGGGUAAUGGAGUGUGCGACCUGACGAAAGAAUCACAUGCAGGAGUACUAUAUUAAGUCACCACCCAACUAACAUAGUAUAUCACUGACUUAAUUCGUCUAUGCCCUAGACGUUUCAACACACACCGGAUCAAGCAUCACAAAGUCCCUCUCCUGUAAUGAUAGGGCUCGACCCCACCGUUAUUUCUUGUACUCAUGAUUAUCUCAAGUAACACAACUGAGAUAACCGUCCGGGCAAUGAGUCACAAGACUUACGUGGUAUGUUAUCGAAACAUCUUCCUCAGCCCCUCACGUUAAUCCAUAUUGGUUCAAGCACUUUACUAGACGUGCUCCGCGAGAUCGUAUUUUCUCAUGACCCCGAGUUACACGCUAAGUUAGUUACUUUGGACCUCCACUUGAUAACGUAGUUCUAAGUCGAGGGCAUAAAAGGGUUAGUGCUCACACAGUGACAUGGAGGGAAGAACUUAUGUCACUCUACUAACUGGUCGACAAGUACAUACAGUAUGAUAUAUAUACUAUGGCGGAGCUCCCAUUUAAUGGGUCAUGUCACGCUCUAAAACGCCAUACGAACCUUGGUCUAGGUACCACUAAGGUAUAUAUCUAACCACGACAACUCAAGUCAUCUCUCUAACCUGAGCACUUAGGUUCGGCUACUAUAUAGCCUCGAUAUGAAAUUUUACAAAAACAAACUCUUAUAUCUGACUCUUGAGAGUCUCAUCUUAAACUAAUUAAGGCGACUUUAAAUUAUAUCAACACUUCAUUUAUAACAUAUAUGAACAAAGUAAUCAUAUUACAACUACUCAAGUUUAAUAUGAUUAUCUAGUCUCAUCCUGCUCACCACCUAGGUGCCAGGGCGAUCACCCGUGUGAGUGGGCUGAUCUGAGCCUGGUGACUCAACGAAUAUGUGCCUACUAGCGUCAAUUACGCAAUCACAUUAAAAGGAGAAAAGCAUAUUUUCAUAAUAAAGCGUAAGAUACAAAAUAAUGUCCAUAUAUCAAAACCUAGGAAGACCCAAACUCCUAACGUGGGUCUGGAACAUAUCCCUAGCUAGCGGCUUGGUCAACGGAUCAGCCACCAUCCUAGUGGUGGAGAUAUGUCUGAGAACGACCUCGCCUAGCCUAAUCAUCUCUCGAAUGUAGUGAAAACGGAUAUCAAUAUGCUUGGUCCUGCAAUGAUACUUUGGAUCUUUCACAUACUCCAGGGCAGCCAUACUGUCAGAGAACAUCUCAACAGGUUCAUUAGCUCGAGUCACGAUGUCGAGGUGCUAGAGAAAUCUCCUUAGCCAAACAGCCUCCUGAAUGGCCGUUGAACAAGCAACGUACUCCGCUUCCAUGGUUGACAAGGCAAUACAGCUCUGCUUCUUACUGCACCAGGAAAUUGCCCCAUCUCUAACCAUAAACACAGAGCCUGAAGUGGGCCUGCACUCAUCUCUAUCACCGCCCCAAUCAGCAUCAUUAUACCCUUUCAAUCUCAAGUCCCCAGCUUGAAAGCAGAGAAUGAGAUCACUGAUUCCUUUUAAAUAUCAAAGGAUUCUCUUGACCGCUUGCCAAUAAAUGGGCCCCGGGUUGCUUUGGUAACGACUUACCAAACCAACAGCGAAGCAAAUGUCAGGUCGAGUACACAUCAUAGCGUAUAUCAAACUGCCAAUUGCACUCGCAUAAGGAACCCUACUCAUUUGCUCCUUUUCUUUAUCCGUUUUAGGGCACUGAUCAAGAUUCAGAGUGUGAUUCUUCUCCAUUGGAGUGUCAACGGGUUUACAAUGAUGCAUCCUAAAACGCUCUAAAAUCUUUUUAAUAUAAGUUUCUUUAGACAAACCAAGAAGCUUUCUAGAGCGAUCAUGGAUGACCUUCACUCCGAGCACAUAGCUCGCCUCACCCAUGUCUUUCAUUUCAAAGUUGAGAGACAACCACUCCUUAGUGGUAUUGAUUAACUCCAUGUCAUUUCCAGCCAAUAAUAUGUCAUCGACGUAUAGGGAGAGGAACACAAUCCCUUUCUCUGUCUUCUUGACGUAUACACAGUGAUCCUCCUCUAUCAUGGACAUACCGAUAGAGGUAAUGGCUUCAUGAAAUCUGAAAUACCACUGUCUCGACGACUGCUUGAGACCAUAGAUGGAUCUUUUAAGACGACAAACUUUGUCUUCUUGACCUUUGAGUACAACAUCCUCAGGUUGAUCCAUAUAGAUCUCCUCCACUAAUUCUCCAUUGAGGAAAGCUGUCUUGACAUCCAUUUGGAACAAUUCCAAAUCUAGGUGUGCCACUAAGGCUAGAAUCAAACGAAUGAAAGCAAAUCUCACAAUGGGAGCAAAUGUCUCGUUGUAAUCUACCCCUUGCCUCUGAGUGUAGUCCUUGGCCACAAGUUGAGCCUUAUAUUUAUCGAUUGAUCCAUCCGCCUUGCGCUUAAUUUUUAAAAUCCAUUUAUUUCCAAUAGACUUGCGCCCAGGCGGAAGGUCAACCAAUUCCCAUACUUGGUUCUUGCUCAUAGAGUCCAUCUCAUCUUUCAUAGCAGUCAUUCACUCACUGCAAGCUGACGUCUGUAGUGCUUCUUUAUAAGAAGAAGGUUCAUCAUCAUCGAGCGGAGUGCACAUGAAAAUAUCCCCUUCGAUUUCAAAAUGUCGACGGGGAAUAUGUCCACGUUCAUUUCUACGCAAUAGAAGGUCCGAACUGCCGACUUCCAAGGGUAUGCUCUCAUUCAACGAAUCACUCCCACUAGCCAGAGGAUAGCUACCACUUCCUUCAGCGACUUCGGGAAGUGAUCGAUCACCCUCAAUAGCAGAUGGGGUAGCGUCGUCCUGUAACUCAUACAAUCCGACGUCUCUUCGCAUUUCACGAAUGCUUGAAAAAUCCCUUUCUAGGAAUUCCACAUCACGAGACUCAAUCUCGGUCAUACCACCAUCUGGGUGUUCACCAUACAUCACAUAGCCCUUCGAAUUUCAGGGUAUCUGAUGAACACAUGUUUGCUCGCUCUAGGGCCGAGUUUUCCGAAUCUAUGUGAGAGGCUGUGAACAUAUCCAGCUGAACCCCAAGGGCGUAAAUAAUGUAAACUUGGCUUUCUACCGCUCCACAACUCAUAUGGGGUAGUAGGCACUGAUUUGCUAGGGACUCGAUUAAGGAUGUAGGCUGUAGUCAAAAGAGUAUCUCCCAAAAAAUUUAUGCGUAGUUGCGCUUUGGCCAUCAUCGACCUAACCAUGUCUAAUAGAGUACGGAUCCUUCGCUCUGCAACACCAUUUUGUUGCGGAGUACCAGGAAUAGUGAGCUGUCUACUAAUGCCCGUUUGCUCACAAUAAGUCUUGAACUGAUCAGACAAGUACUCACGACCUCGGUCAGUGUGAAGUACCUUUACACUUCUUUCUAUUUGAUUCUCAGCCUCCGCAACGAAGCGCUUGAAGCAAUCUAAAGCUUCAGAUCGGCAAGAAAGCAAAUACACAUAUCCAUAACGGGAAUAAUCAUCAAUGAAUAUGAGAAAAUAGCAAGCAGCAUGCCGGGUCCUCACAUUCAUUGGCCCACAAAUGUCUAAGUAGAUUAGUUCUAAAGGAUGAGAGACACGAGUAGCCUUACCGAAAGGCUUUCUACAUGCCUUCCCAGCCAGACAAGGCUCGCACAUAGAUAGGUCAACUUUGGCGAGAGACCCCAAAAGGCCUUCUCGAGCUAGUCUAUUCAUUCUUUCUUGACUUAUAUGGCCAAAUCUGGCAUGCCAUUUAACGGAUUCAUCACAGAGAAUAGAUGAAGAAGAAGAAGAAGCAAAUGCAAACGAAUCAUCCUCCAAAUCUAAUUUAAAGAAACCAUCAACUAAUGUACCAUAUCCAAAUAAAGUACCAUGAAAGGAAAUAUCAAGGCGGUCUCUGUCAAAAUGAAAUGAAUAUCCUAGAUGCAACAAAGCUAAAACUGAACAUAGAUUACAUCGAAUUCCGGGUGCAUAUAGCACGUCCUGAAAAAGUAAAGUGCGGCCACCACGCAACUUGAGUUGGUACGAACCGACUCCAAAGACUUCUUCCUUCGUGCCAUUCCCAAGGGUGACAAACUGUGUGCCAGACGGUACUCGAUGAUAAUCUACGAACCCCACUCGAUCACGAACUAUGUGUUUGUUUGCUCCUGUAUCCACAAUCCAAUCAGGAAGAGAAUGAGCUACUAAAGCAUGAGAGCAAACAAAACAGUGUGAGUUGAGUGGUAGGGUUACCUUUUUCGGCUCAGGACAAUUCCGAGCGAAAUGACCCUUCUUCUUGCAAUUGUAGCAUUUUAGCUUUGUAGCAUCCUUAUUGCCAGCGCGCUUGCCUCUGCGGCGCUUUCCAACUCCACCCUGAGGAGCUUGAUUCCAUUUCUUCUGCGCUCCAUUGUUGUGAUGCUUUUUGCGCUUGGGUGCAAUCCCACUGCGCUUCUCGGAGCGUGCAACAAGAGCGACAGAACGGUUCACUUCUAAGCGCUCUGCCUCGAGCUCGAGAUGGCGCGAGAUGUCAUUAAACGUUUUAAUGUUCUCGCUGUGCGUCAUCAGGAGCUUCAUCUGGGACCAUUCAGUAUCAGGCAGUGAACGAAUCACUGCUAGAACUUGUUGCUCAUCAGUGAGCUCGUUUCCAGCAGUCUUAAGGUCCCGAAUCAUGGCGCUCAUCACACGAAGGUGCUCAGCCAUUGAAUGCUUCGGGUCUUUAAUAUACUGUAGAAACUUGAGAUUUAAGGCACGUAGCCUCGUAGAUGAAGUUUGACCAAAAGUAAUCUUCAAAUUGUCCCACAUGUCCUUGGCAGUUUCAAAGAUCUCAAACUGUCCAAUGAGGUCGUCUUGCAUGGCACACAACAUAGUGUACCGAGCAGCUCGAUCCUCCUUGAUCCAUUUUGCUUUUACUCUUUGUUCGAUAGAAUGAGAAAAAGUACACGUCUCAAAUUUAUACUGUUAGGGUGUAACUGAGUAGUCUAAUAUUAUUCCGGUUUUGGUUCUUGUGAACGUUGACAUCGAUUCGUUCCAAAUUUACACUCUCGGGGCAUAAUAUAACAAUAUAAUUAGGUUUUACAUUUUGUUCGGCUGAAUGAGAAAAAGUACUUGUUGCAAAGUUAUACUGUUAGGGCGCAACUGAGUAGUCUAAUAUCAUUCCGGUUUUGGUUCUUGUGAACGUUGACAUCGAUUCGUUCGAAAUUUACACUCUCGGGGCAUAAUUGAGCAAUAUAAUUUGCUUUUACUCUUUGUAGGCAUGACUCUUUUGACAGAAAGGGUUUCAAGAACCCCUUAUUCAUUAAGCAGGUAUUGUAUUUUCCGAUGCCAGAUAUCAUAAUUCUUUCCAUCUAGCUUAUCAUCCCUGGUGAGAUCAGCUAUGAUAUUUUUGGAAGUCAUUUCACUACAUUCAAAAAUAGGUUUGGACAUUAGGCACAUAUUCCCAAAAAAUUAACAAGAUUGAAACAUUAUUCUCGAUACAACGGGAUCGAAAACUUCGCUAUGCUCGUAAUCAUCACCGUGUUGGUUCAAAAUAUUACAAUCUUAUUAAUUUUUUAUUAAUUUUGAAACUUAUCCAAAAAUUGGAACUGAUCCAUUUUGAAGAACACAUCAUUUUCUUGAAAAAUAUUUAUAUAAGGAGAAUUUAUCUCAUAAUAUCAUCACACAGACAAAAAAUAAUUACUUAUGCCAAAAUUUAAUUUGAAAAAUGUUGACGCUGCGCAAAACACAUUUCUUUACAUGGCCUUAAUUAUUACAUCACUUUUGCAUAAUUAAAACUUACUACAUCACUACAAGAUGUACAUCAGAAAAAUAAUAUUCUACAGGAAUGCUGCACAUGUCGAACCCGUUUUUCCAAAAUUAAAUUUUGUUGAAAAAUCACCGAAAUAACAUAAGUACUUAUAUGCCAAAAGAUUUUAUACAAUUACACAAGUAUAAUAUGCUACAUAAGCAUAAAAAAAACAUCCACAUAAGAUAGAUUAAACAAACAACACAUGCAUGUUUUAAAACUGGCAUAAAAUAUAUAUGUAUCCCAAAAAUAUUACUACGCAGGAAAUUUAACUACACAGGAAAAAAAGAUUUUUUUUUUUUUUAUAAAAAAAAAAUUUGCGCUGCGAGCCGGGCCGGGCACGCAGGGUCGCUUUCUUGCGCGCAGCAGGCCGGGCCGGGCCUGCAAACCUGCCCGCAGCCCGCGGCGGGCUGGGCCAGGCCCGCAAGCCCCCCGCACUGCUUGCGAAUACGACCCGCAGCGGGUCGGGCCCGCAUGAUGCGUGCGGGUGCCGCUCGCUCCCGCAGCGGGCCUGGCCCGCGCUGUGCGUGCGGGUGCGCCCCGCUCCCGCAGCGGGCCGGGCCCGCGCUGUGCGGGCGGGUGCGCCCCGCGCCCGCAGCGGGCCGCGUCGUGCCGCUCGCAGCAAUUUUUAAAAAAAAUUAUUUCAAUGCACAAAGCAGAGAAAAAAAAAUACUAACUUAAAAAAAAUGCAUAUUUUAUGAUCAAUAUGAGAGAACUAAAACUAAUUUAGUUUUUCUCUUUCCUCUUUUCAAUUUCACAAAGAAACCAAAAAAAAUUGCAGAAUCGAUCUACAUCAAGGAUUGAUCAACGAAAAACAUGCGAUCUAAAACACACGCAUCACAAGCAUGAUCAUAUAAAGCGAAAACAAGCAUGCAGGCUUUGAUACCAAUUGUUGAAAAUAAUAGGGCAGCGGAAACGUACAAACAGGAUAGCCAACGUAUCCGGGAACUCGAAUCGGAUCGGAUUGCCUGUUUUACAAGCCUUCUUGUAUCGUCCUUGUCUCGAUGCUUCUGGAUCUCCAUGCGUACGCCUUACGCCACGGAUCGGAUGCGGAUCUAAUGCGACGGAUGUUAAUCGAAGAGGGCUACCAGAGUCCUCUUCUAUGUCCGCACUCCAAAAUCCCGGGAACGUAGGUGGAAAUCCCAGAGAGGAAGAAGAGAGAGAAUAAGGGAGAUAUUUCGUGGGUUCUUACGAAUUUGAUCGUAUUCGAUCGUCUCUUUACGGGAGAAAAAUGGGGCUUAUUUAUAGAAUAAUGGAACCCCUAAAUAUCCUAAAUCUCAUACAGAUUAGGAUAAGGAUUGGGAUAUCUAUUAACAUAUAAUAGAUAUCCACUAGUAGAUACGUUUCUUAACUGAUAAGAAAUAUAUAAUUAUAUUCUUAUUCUUAACUUGUUAGGAUAAAUCUCAAUCCACAACUUAAGCGGAUCGGGUUAAAUUAAGACCCACCAAUGUGGACACACCACAUGGCAACAUCUCCCACUUGGCCUCAUUGGCCAAUUCUCUCUCAUUCAUUCAUCUCUUCAUACGGGUAAUGGAGUGUGCGACCUGACGAAAGAAUCACAUGCAGGAGUACUAUAUUAAGUCACCACCCAACUAACAUAGUAUAUCACUGACUUAAUUCGUCUAUGCCCUAGACGUUUCAACACACACCGGAUCAAGCAUCACAAAGUCCCUCUCCUGUAAUGAUAGGGCUCGACCCCACCGUUAUUUCUUGUACUCAU